GGGGAUUUAGCUCAGUGGCAUAAGUGCCUGCCUUGCAAGCAGGCGCUUGAGUUCGAUCCCCA
rnacentral:tRNA from 1 species